rnacentral:tRNA from 1 species
GACCCCAUCGUCUAGCGGCCUAGGACUCCGGGUUUUCAUCCCGGCAACAGGGGUUCGAGUCCCCUUGGGGUCACCC